ensembl:lncRNA
GGAGGGUUAAGCAGCGUAAGGGACUCGUCCCUGGAGAGGAAGCACUGUCCGUUGCUGAGGGCGUGGAUAGAGGACGAGAUGGAGUGAAUCCCAGCAUUUUCAAGGCAAGAAAGGACCCCGCAAGAUCGUUAUUUCUCUUGGAACAUCGAGAUGGAAAUCCAAAAGGAAGUUCAGCAAUCUUUAUUAAGGAAUAUCAGCAAUUUCUUUGCAAGGCACUCAUAAAACCAAAGGCCCCGUGAGGACACAGGGAGAAGACAGCCAUCUGCAAGCCAGGAAGCAGGUUCUCACCAGAUUCUGAACCUGCCAGCACCUUCCUUGACCUUGGACUUCCAGCCUCCACAGCGAGGAGAAAAUGAAUCUGUCGUUGAAGUCUGUGGUAUUUUGUUACAGCAGCCAGAGCGGACUGAAACAAUUGGUUAAAUGGUUACUCCCGGAAUUAUGCUGACAUAGUUAAAUCCAGAGUUUGAGAAUUAUUUAAUAUCCGAGCCAUGUGGACUUUAUCUAAAACUCCUGAUCUUCACAGCCCUGUCUAAACUGAUGGUACCUGAUUGCUGAGCUCGCUCUAGAAUCUGAGACCUUAACAUGGUCGAGAAGCUUCAGAGUGGCUCCGUGUUGCCAGGAUUUUACCGAAUGAAGCCAUGAUGUUCAUAUCUGUAUCUCCGGCCAAAUGCGAAGCCGCUCCUCAAAAUACUCUACAUGACUCAUGAUCUCAGUGCAGUUAUAGGAAACAUUAUUCAUUGUCUAAUAAUCACUAAUGUGUGCUGGCCACUGUGCCUGAGGCACUGCUCUGCUCACUCUGUGUACGUGAUUGUGGCCCCUCUUUCCAUGGCCUUUGGGAUCAGGUCCAGAGAGCCUAUUGCCAAGGAGAGUGCCUCCUCUGAGGCUCAGAGAGGUUGGGGAGCUGUCUCAAAGUCAAGCAGCUCGUGAAGGGUUGAGCCUGAGAUUGAGCCCAAGGCAUCUGACAGCUGAGAAUGUGUGCUUAAUCGUAUUCCUGGGGGGCUGUGUCUGGCGGCUGUUCUAUCUGAUGAGUCACCGCUGCUGCUGAGCAUCUUUGGCAAACCCGACAGCCAUCCUGACAUGCUGUUACACAGGGAAAAUCCUCUGAGCUUCACCUCGCAUAAAUACACUGCAGAAAAUCCCCGUCGAGUGGUGGAGACUUUCCUCGUGCGUCCCCCUCCUCACUGGCACCAAACAGACAGAAAAGAAUGGCUUCGUGGUCUCAGCAAGUGAAAACUAUCCAUCCAACUGAAUGUUUGGCCUUGGUGAUUUGAAAUGGUAGACUGGCUUCACUAAACCAGCUACAUGCCAAGUUCCCCUUUUCCUUUGUCCUGUGCAAACACCACUUCAGCAUGAGCGCUCUGUUGGCACAACAGGUAAUGCAACCGGACAAGACGAGUUUUUCAUCAGGGCGACCAGGGGGAACUAUCCAUGCAUUUCUUACAGAAACCUAUACAUUCAUCGGCAUGUGUGUUUUAUAGGCUCGAGGUUUCCUCCCCCAUUGAGAUGCUCUGCUCUUUCAUUUGGAAAACAGUUUCUUCAUAAAUCAUAACCCUCCAAGGGACAUUCUAUGAACAGAGAACCCUGACAACGGUCAUCUGUUUGAACUGAACAUUCAAAUUACAGUUCACGUGGGCUUUCAGAGGAUAUUUGCAUUAUUUCCUUCCCCCAGACGAUGCCAGAUUUUUCUGCAACCAUUUGAAACCAUCAUUUAUGAGUCUACUCAAAAAAAGAGAGAGAUGUGCCAUAUUACAUAUAUAUAUCUUAACAUGGGCAGAGAAAGCUAGCAAGAACUUAUGCUACUGCAAGUUGGCCGAUUACACACAAUGAGAUGAGCGUCAGGAAUAAGGACAAUCCAUGAGAUUAACUGGCCACGUGGCGCCCGCCAGGCACUGCUCUAGGAGCUUAAUUUUCAUGAGCUCCUUACCCUGUGAGGAUGACACCUAUUUUCAUCUACAUUUUUUAUAUACUUACUUCUGCGAGUUUAUCACUGACGGGGUGGGGGGGGAGUUUUCCAUGGCAAGCAAGCAGUACUGGAAAACUGGCUGCCUCCUUUUCCAAAGGGAAUUGAUUUUGUUACAAUUUUAUCGCUUUUUUGGGUUUUUUUUUUGAGGAGGGCAAACAGACUCAUCAUGAUUCAUUAUGAAGUCCAUGCCAGUUGAGCGAAUAUAUUUAGCAUAUGAAUAAAAGUGAAAAUAGU